rnacentral:rRNA from 1 species
GACGAACGCUGGCGGCGUGCCUAAUACAUGCAAGUAGAACGCACAGUUUAUACCGUAGCUUGCUACACCAUAGACUGUGAGUUGCGAACGGGUGAGUAACGCGUAGGUAACCUGCCUGGUAGCGGGGGAUAACUAUUGGAAACGAUAGCUAAUACCGCAUAAUAUUAAUUAUUGCAUGAUAAUUAAUUGAAAGGUGCAAUUGCACCACUACCAGAUGGACCUGCGUUGUAUUAGCUAGUAGGUGAGGUAACGGCUCACCUAGGCGACGAUACAUAGCCGACCUGAGAGGAGGAUCGGCCACACUGGGACUGAGACACGGCCCAGACUCCUACGGGAGGCAGCAGUAGGGAAUCUUCGGCAAUGGACGAAAGUCUGACCGAGCAACGCCGCGUGAGUGAAGAAGGUUUUCGGAUCGUAAAGCUCGGUUGUAAGAGAAGAACGGGUGUGAGAGUGGAAAGUUCACACUGUGACGGUAUCUUACCAGAAAGGGACGGCUAACUACGUG